rnacentral:rRNA from 1 species
GACGAACGCUGGCGGCGUGCCUAACACAUGCAAGUCGAACGGAGACAUUUAGCAAUAGAUGUCUUAGUGGCGGACGGGUGAGUAACGCGUGAGCAAUCUGCCCUUCGGAGGGGGACAACAGCUGGAAACGGCUGCUAAUACCGCAUAACGUAUACGGGUGGCAUCAUCUGUAUACCAAAGAUUUAUCGCCGAAGGAUGAGCUCGCGUCUGAUUAGCUAGUUGGUAGGGUAAUGGCCUACCAAGGCUUCGAUCAGUAGCCGGACUGAGAGGUUGAACGGCCACAUUGGGACUGAG